GGCUUAUUGAUUAUAAUUUUAAGUCGAGCCUGCCCAAUGAGUGUUUUAAAUGGCCGCGGUAUUCUGACCGUGCAAAGGUAGCAUAAUUAUUAGUUUUUUAAUUAAAAGCUUGUAUGAAAGGUUUGAUGAAAAAGAAGCUGUCUCUGUAAAAGUUAAUUAGAAUUUUAUUUUUAAGUAAAAAAGCUUAAAUUUUUGUAGAAGACAAGAAGACCCUAUAGAGUUUUAUAUUUAUAUUGAAGUUAAAUUUUAGGUAUUAAAAGUUUAAAGAUUUUUAGUAUUUUAUUGGGGUGAUUGAAAAAUAAAAAUAACUUUUUUUAUAUAUUAACAUUUAUUUGUGAAUUUAUGAUCCUAGAGAUUUAGAUUAAAAGAUUAAAUUACCUUAGGGAUAACAGCGUAAUCUUUCUUAGAGUUCUUAUCAAAUGAAAGGGUUGCGACCUCGAUGUUGGAUUAAAAUUAAUUAUUGGUGUAGAAGCUAAUAAAUUAGGUCUGUUCGACCUUGAAAAUUUUACAUGAUCUGAGUUUAAACCGGCGUGAG
rnacentral:rRNA from 1 species